rnacentral:misc_RNA from 1 species
CCUCAGACACAUUUCGAACAUCAAGGUUUCGUAGAUAGGUUAAAGUACUCAAUUCACUAGCAAAGCCAGCAUCGGCAUAGACACCAGCGCAUGUGUGAAGAUUUACCAAUGUUCCAAUCCCUCUUGGAAUUCUAAUUCCACUGUUAUGUAUCUUGCUAUCGUUCAAUAAAAGGUGCCUGAGCUGUUUAAUAUUCAGAAUUUCUAUAGGUAGUUGGUGUAGUUUUGUAUAUGUUACCUCCAAAGUUUGUAGUUUCUGAAGA